AAUGAACGCUGGCGGUAUGCCUAACACAUGCAAGUCGAACGGCAGCACAGUAAUAGCUUGCUCUUACGGGUGGCGAAUCGCGGACGUGACAGGAAUACAUCCUAAUCUACUUUUUCGGAUAGGAUAACGUAGGUGAACUUACUCUAAUACCGCAUACGACCUACGGUUGAAAGCAGUGGAUCUUCUCACCUUGCGCGAAUGAAUGAGCCGAUGUCGGAUUAGCUAGUUGGCGGGGUAAUGGCCCACCAAGUCGACGAUCCGUAGCUGGUCUGAGAGGAUGAUCAGCCACACUAGAACUGAGACAGGGACAAUGCGCCUACGAGAGGCAGCAGUGGGGAAUAUUAGACAAUGGGCGCAAGUAUGAUACAGCCAGACGGCGUGGGUGAAGAAGGCCUUCGGGUUGUAAUGCCCUUUUGUUGGGAAAGAAAUCCAGUCGGCUAAUACCUGGUUGGGAUGACGGUACCCAAAGAAUAAGCACCGGCUAACUUCGUG
rnacentral:rRNA from 1 species